AUUGUGUGGAGAUUGCGGGACACAGAGACGUUUGUGUUAGCGGUGCAUUGUAUGGAGAUUGUGGGGCAUAUGGAUGUCUAUGCCAGUGACGAAUUGUAUGGGGAUUGCGGGGUACAAAGACGUUUGUACUAGCGGUGCAUAGGUGAUUGCGGGGUAUAAGGAUGGACUCUUGUACUAGUGGCACAUAAAAAUAUAUAUUUAUAUCCGUAUAAGGAGAAUGUGGGGUGUGUGAUCUAGUUAUGCACUAUCAGCGCAUUUGAUGUUUUAUGUGGUGUAUUAGACACCGUGUUUGUUUCAUGCUAGAGUUAGGCCUACAUAGUCGUAGUGCUAUGUACUGAGUCAAUGGUUUGCGGUUUAGCAU
rnacentral:lncRNA from 1 species